GCCACCAUCGUCUAGUGGCCUAGGACAUUCGGUUCUCAGCCGGAGAACGGGGGUUCGAUUCCCCCUGGUGGCA
rnacentral:tRNA from 1 species